rnacentral:rRNA from 1 species
AUUGAACGCUGGCGGCAGGCCUAACACAUGCAAGUCGAACGAGUGGCGGACGGGUGGGUAAUGUCUGGGAAACUGCCUGAUGGAGGGGGAUAACUACUGGAAACGGUAGCUAAUACCGCAUACCCUAGGAUGUGCCCAGAUGGGAUUUGCUAGGAGGUGGGGUAAUGGCUCACCUGGGCGACUAUCCCUAGCUGGUCUGAGAGGAUGACCAGCCACACUGGAACUGAGACACGGUCCAGACUCCUACGGGAGGCAGCAGUGGGGAAUAUUGGACAAUGGGCGCAAGCCUGAUGCAGCCAUGCCGCGUGUGUGAAGAAGGCCUUCGGGUUGUAAAGCACUUUAAGCUAGGAGGCGUUACUCGCAGAAGAAGCACCGGCUAACUCCGUGCCAGCAGCCGCGGUAAUAC